rnacentral:ncRNA from 1 species
UACUACUAGGGGUGCCCAAACCGUGGGCUGAGAGAAAACGAGUGCGUUUUUAACCCUUUGGACCUGAACUGGGUAAUACCAGCGUAGGAAAGUAGCAU